rnacentral:rRNA from 1 species
GACGAACGCCGGCGGCGUGCUUAACACAUGCAAGUCGAACGGAAAGGCCCUGCUUUUGUGGGGUGCUCGAGUGGCGAACGGGUGAGUAACACGUGAGUAACCUGCCCUUGACUUUGGGAUAACUUCAGGAAACUGGGGCUAAUACCGGAUAGGAGCUCCUGCUGCAUGGUGGGGGUUGGAAAGUUUCGGCGGUUGGGGAUGGACUCGCGGCUUAUCAGCUUGUUGGUGGGGUAGUGGCUUACCAGGGCUUUGACGGGUAGCCGGCCUGAGAGGGUGACCGGCCACAUUGGGACUGAGAUACGGCCCAGACUCCUACGGGAGGCAGCAGUGGGGAAUAUUGCACAAUGGGCGGAAGCCUGAUGCAGCAACGCCGCGUGCGGGAUGACGGCCUUCGGGUUGUAAACCGCUUUCGCCUGUGACGAAGCGUGAGUGACGGUAAUGGGUAAAGAAGCACCGGCUAACUACGUGCCAGCAGCCGCGGUGAUACGUAGGGUGCGAGCGUUGUCCGGAUUUAUUGGGCGUAAAGGGCUCGUAGGUGGUUGAUCGCGUCGGAAGUGUAAUCUUGGGGCUUAACCCUGAGCGUGCUUUCGAUACGGGUUGACUUGAGGAAGGUAGGGGAGAAUGGAAUUCCUGGUGGAGCGGUGGAAUGCGCAGAUAUCAGGAGGAACACCAGUGGCGAAGGCGGUUCUCUGGGCCUUCCCUGACGCUGAGGAGCGAAAGCGUGGGGAGCGAACAGGCUUAGGUACCCUGGUAGUCCACGCUGUAAACGGUGGGUACUAGGUGUGGGGUCCAUUCCACGGGUUCCGUGCCGUAGCUAACGCUUUAAGUACCCCGCCUGGGGAGUACGGCCGCAAGGCUAAAACUCAAAGGAAUUGACGGGGCCCCGCACAAGCGGCGGAGCAUGCGGAUUAAUUCGAUGCAACGCGUAGAACCUUACCUGGGUUUGACAUGGAUCGGGAGCGCUCAGAGAUGGGUGUGCCUCUUUUGGGGUCGGUUCACAGGUGGUGCAUGGCUGUCGUCAGCUCGUGUCGUGAGAUGUUGGGUUAAGUCCCGCAACGAGCGCAACCCUUGUUCACUGUUGCCAGCACGUUAUGGUGGGGACUCAGUGGAGACCGCCGGGGUCAACUCGGAGGAAGGUGGGGAUGACGUCAAGUCAUCAUGCCCCUUAUGUCCAGGGCUUCACGCAUGCUACAAUGGCUGGUACAGAGAGUGGCGAGCCUGUGAGGGUGAGCGAAUCUCGGAAAGCCGGUCUCAGUUCGGAUUGGGGUCUGCAACUCGACCUCAUGAAGUCGGAGUCGCUAGUAAUCGCAGAUCAGCAACGCUGCGGUGAAUACGUUCCCGGGGCU